UGUUCCUCUGAUUGGUUGAUAAAAAAAAAAUGCUGAUAGACCAGUAGCCAGGCAGGAAGUAUAGGUGGGAUAAGCAGAUGAGGAGAAUUCUGGGAGAGGAAGGCUGAGUCAGGAGAUGCCAGCCUGCCAUCCAGGGAGCAGCAUGUAAUGGCACACAGAGUCAAGGAUAGAAGAAAGACAUAAUGGAAUCUUCCUUCAUGACUAAGGAUAGCCUCUGAGGCCAAGCAUGUGUCAGCAGUCUCCCUGAAUUGAAGCCUAAAAAAGCCUUAAUUGCAUGAACCUGUGAAGUUGAAACCUGGAUUGCCUUGGAGACCUCAUGAUGCUGGAGAUGCCAGAGCUGUGGGAUACCUGCCACAGCUGCUAACAGGGAGUGGAACCAGCCCAAGAGAAAGAAAUGUAUUGAAGUCAACAGUACUGAAAAGAGUUGGAGAUCUGAAGAGCAUGUGGACAUCAUACAUGGACAUGCAGAGUUUGGAGUUCAACCAGCUGUUUUUUUGGCCUUGCUUUGGUCCAGUAUUUCCUCACUAUGGUCCCUUCCCUACAUUUUGGAAUGAGUUGCUGAGAAUAUCUCUACAGGAAAUUCUCAUCCACACUGAAGUUGAGAAUUACUUCUUGAAAGUGGAGCUUGUCAAAGCAAAACCUGUCUGCUGAUUUUCUAAGAAAGGAUUAUUGGAACACAGUUAUGUCUUUCCAUUUAA